UACGUAGGGGGCAAGCGUUGUCCGGAAUUAUUGGGCGUAAAGCGCGUGUAGGCGGUCCACUAAGUCGGCUGUGAAAGUCCAGGGCUCAACCCAGGAACUGCGUCCAAGACUGGGAGGCUUGAAUCCGGGAGAGGGAUGCGGAAUUCCAGGUGUAGCGGUGAAAUGCGUAGAUAUCUGGAGGAACACCGGUGGCGAAGGCGGCAUCCUGGACCGGUAUUGACACUGAGGCGCGAAAGCGUGGGGAGCAAACAGG
rnacentral:rRNA from 1 species